UUCCAAUCUUUGAUUGUCAUGUCUUCAUUGGUUUUAUAAAUCCGAUAUGAACAGGAGUGAUUCGUAGGAUGACCUGGCCGUAUAAUCAAAACAUCAAGGCGACCUUUCUGAUACAUCAAAUGAGGCACACACUACUGCGGGAUUAUCUGUUGAAAAACAUAGUAAUAACUUCGUAGUUAGCAAUGUAGUUCAGUUUUAGAAGAAUUUAUGCAAAAGAUGCACAAAUGUCGUAAUCCUACAAAAACUUACCAUGGCAUCUCCAUGGAUGUUAGCAUAGUUCAACACGUGCACUAGUGGCACAUAUUGACCAUAAUGUGGAGGAGUUUGAUAAUGCAUAUUGUAAUUCUCAAGAUCAGUAAUAAAUGCGAUCAGAUGAUUUUUCUCCUGAUAAGUUAAUUCUGAGCCAUCGGUGUAGUAGGUUCUGUCUACCAUCUUCCGCACAUUCUUUGAAGAAUGAAAAUAAGCUGUCAAGUAUUUUGAAAUAAACAAUAUAAAUUACUUAAUAAUAUGUUUGAGAAACUCACAUAGCCGUAGAAUUGGAUGCGUAUCAACAAGGACCCAAAUGUCCAAAUUGUCUUCCUCAAUGUCAGGUGAUACAUCUCCAACGUAUCUAUAUUUUUUGAUUGUUCCAUACUAUUAUAUUAUCCAUCUUGGAUGUUUUAUAUGCAUUUAUAUGCUAUUUUAUAUGAUUUUGGGACUAACCGAUUAACCUAGAGCCCAGUGCCAGUUUCUGUUUUUUCCUUUUUUUUGAGUUUUUUAGAAAAGUAAUACCAAACGGAGUCCAAUUGACAUGCCAUUUUUUAUGAUUUUUUAUGGACCAAAAGAAGCCCCCGAAGUAAAAGAGUUGGGCCAGAAGAGACCUGAGCCAUCCACAAGGGUGGAGGGCGCGCCCUAGCCCCCUGGACGCGCCCCCAUGCCUCGUGAAUGNNNNNNNNNNNNNNNNNNNNNNNNNNNNNNNNNNNNNNNNNNNNNNNNNNNNNNNNNNNNNNNNNNNNNNNNNNNNNNNNNNNNNNNNNNNNNNNNNNNNNNNNNNNNNNNNNNNNNNNNNNNNNNNNNNNNNNNNNNNNNNNNNNNNNNNNNNNNNNNNNNNNNNNNNNNNNNNNNNNNNNNNNNNNNNNNNNNNNNNNNNNNNNNNNNNNNNNNNNNNNNNNNNNNNNNNNNNNNNNNNNNNNNNNNNNNNNNNNNNNNNNNNNNNNNNNNNNNNNNNNNNNNNNNNNNNNNNNNNNNNNNNNNNNNNNNNNNNNNNNNNNNNGACGUGAGACAAACGCCAAAAAUUACUAUAAAUACAGAAACCCCCCCAAAAGAAACCUAGAUCGGGAGUUCUGCCGCCGCAAGCCUAUGCAGCCAUCAAAAACCAAUCGGGGCCCUGUUUCGGCAUACUGCCAGAGGGGGGCUCCAUCACAGGUGGCAAACUUCAUCGUCCUGGCGCUCUCCAUGACAAGGAGGGAGUAGUUCACCCUCGGGGCUGAGGGUAUGUACCAGUAGCUAUGUGUUUGAUCUCUCUCUCAUGUUCUUGAUAUAUGGCACAAUCUUGAUGUACCGCGAGCUUUCCUACUAUAGUUGGAUCUUAUGAUGUUUCUCCCCCUCUAUCUCCUUGUGAUGAAUUGAGUUUUCCCUAUUUUAUGGGAUUGAGUCUUUAAGGAUUUGAGAACACUUGAUGUAUCUCUUGCAUGUGCUUAUCUAUGGUGACAAUGGGAUAUUCACAUGAUCUACUUGAUGUAUGCUUUGGUGAUAAACUUACGGGUUCCGUGACCUUGGGAAUCUAUGCAUAGGGGUUGGCACACGUUUUCGUCUUGACUCUCCGGUAGAAACUUUGGGGCACUCUUUGAAGUUCUUUGUGUUGGUUGAAUAGAUGAACCUGAGGUUGUGUGAUGCAUAUCAUAUAUUCAAACCCACGGAUACUUGAGGUGACAUUGGGGUAUCUAGGUGACAUUAGGGUUUUGGUUGAUUUGUGUCUUAAGGUGUUAUUUUACUAUGAACUCUAGGGCUGUUUGUGACACUCAUAGGAAUAUCCCAAUGGAUUGAUCGAAAAGAAUAACUUUGAGGUGGUUUCGUACCCUACCAUAAUCUCUUUGUGUGUUCUCUGCUAUUAGUGACUUUGGAGUGACUCUUUGUUGCACGUUGAGGGAUUGUUAUAUGAUCUAGUUAUGUUAUCCUUGUGGAGAGAACUUGCGCUAGUGAAAGUAUGAACCCUAUGCCUUGUUUCGAAGCAUUGCAAUACCAUUUUCGCUCAAUUUUACCACUUGCUACCUUGCUGUUUUUAUAAUUUCAGAUUUCAAAAACCUAUAUCUACCAUCCAUAUUGCACUUGUAUCACCAUCUCUUCGCUGAACUGGUGACAUAUACAAUUUACCAUUGUAUUGGGUGUGUUGGGGACAAAAGAGACUCUUUGUUAUUUGGUUGCAGGGUUGUUUGAGAGAGAAUAUCUUCAUCCUACGCCUCCCACGGAUUGAUAAACCUUAGGUCAUCCACUUGAGGGAAAUUUGCUACUGUCCUACAAACCUCUGCACUUGGAGGCCCAACAACGUCUACAAGAAGAAGGUUGUGUAGUAGACAUCAAACUCUUUUCUGGCGCCAUUGCCGAGGAGAUUAGUGCUUGAAGGUAUAUCUUUCGAUCUUGCAAUUGAAUCUUUUAGUUUCUUGUUUUAUCACUAGUUUCAUCUGAUGACAUUUCCUAUGUUCAUAAUUCAAAGAUUAAACUUCUAAAAUUAAAUAUAUGUACUGCAAAAACUAAAUUAGAUCAUUAUUAUUCAGCACAGGUUGACUAUCGGUCCGUCGAGUCCUUUUUUAAAAAACUCUCAGCUCAUGUGGUGUAUAUAUUCGACAGUUGGUGAUGGUCGCUCCUCCCUUCUUCCACGAGUGCAUUAAACCAAAAUGUCUAGCACACGGGAACGAAGGAGAAGCGACCCCCACAACAACAGUCGGCAUUUUUCUUCUCUCAUAUACGGUGGACACACUCCCUCACUGAUUUUUCGACCGUCGGUGAUGGUCGUUACUCCUCCUUCCCCUAGUGCCUAACAAAGGUCUAGCACAAGGAGAAGGAGAAACGACCCCCACGACAAGAGUCGGGUUUCUUCCUCUCUCAUAUAUGGUGCAAACUUUCUCCCUCACUCAUUUUUUGAUUGUCAUCUAUGGAGCCUGUCGGUGUCAAAACCGGCGGAUCUUGGGUAGGGGGUCCCGAAUUGUGCGUCUAAGGUCGAUGGUAACAGGAGACAGGGGACACGAUGUUUACCCAGGUUCGGGCCCUCUCUAUGGAGGUAAUACCCUACUUCCUGCUUGAUUGAUCUUGAUGAAUAUAAGUAUUACAAGAGUUGAUCUACAUCGAGAUCGUAAUGGCUACACCCUAGAAGUCUAGCCUGUAUGACUAUGGUAAUGAGUAUCUCCCUUCCGGACUACGCCCCUCCGGUUUAUAUAGACACCGGGGGGAUCUAGGGUUACAUGGAGUCGGUUACAUAGGAAGGAAUCUUCAAAGUUGAUCGCCAAGCUUGCCUCCCACGCCAAGGAGAGUCCUAUCCGGACACGGGUACAGUCUUCGGCCUUCGUGUCUUCACAUCCCAUCAGUCUGGCCCAUGGAUAACAGGCCGGACGCCCGAGGACCCCUUAGUCCAGGACUCCCUCAGUAGCCCAUGAACCUGGCUUCAGUGACGAGGAGUCCGGCGUGCAGAUUGUCUUCGACAUUGCAAGGCGGGUUCCCCUUUCCGAACUCCAAGAUAGUCUUCCGAAGUAACGGUUGUAUCCGGACCUGUAUACAUAGUUGCAAAUAAUAUAAUAUUCCACGAGUUCAAUCCGCUGACAACUUUUUGGUAACGUGACAUCACGCCUGCCCGGUCAUCAUUUUCAAACCGUUGGCUGGCCCGUCAUCCCACAUUUUGAGAUGUGGUUUUAUUGGCACGUCUUAUCCAAGUGGAGAUCGUGUCCCCCUUUGUUAAGGGAUUCUUAUCAACCCAGACGUGGGUAACCCAACCGUCACUCGGGUACAACUUCUUGGGAAUAGGCAAGUGUUGAGGCCCAGGAGGAGACGUUCGAUAUUCGCGGUCUUUAUAUAGGAAUACAUACCCGUCCUUUUCUUUCACGCUUGCUUCUUCCUCAACCCUUGCUACCUCGAGUUCCAACACCCGGGUUUCAAUUGCCACAAGCUCCGAUCAUGUCCGGAUCCAACCGUCAAGGCCGGUGGGUGGCUUCUUCUGUCACAGAGGAGGAUAUUGCAAACCUCCGGGUGGCGAGGUAUCUAACCACAGAAAUCCUUCAUCGACUUCCUGUUGAGGGGCAGGUUAUCCCUACCCCCAGAUAUGGCGAGAGGGUCGGGUUCGUGUCCCACUUCCUCCGCGGGUUAGGGUUCGCGCUUAACCCCUUUGUCCGAGGGCUCAUGUUCUAUUACGGGCUAGAUUUUCACGAUCUGGCCCCGGACUCUAUUCUUCUCAUCUCGGCGUUUAUCGUCACGUGUGAAGCCUUCCUCCGAACUCCUCCGCACUUCGGCUUGUGGCUCAACACCUUCAACCUGAAGCCGCAAGUGAUAGAGGGGGAGCAGGGAGAGUGCGGUGGCGCCACAGUGAACAAGCUUGCUGGCACUAUUUGGCUAAAAGGAUCCUUCGCCGAAUCUUCCGACUUAUGGCAGCAGGGGUGGUUCUAUAUCACCGAGCCUUGUGGCUCCAAGUGGGCAGCUGUGCCUGCGUUUCGAUCCAGCCCCCCAAUUCAGCUUGCUUCAUGGAUCAAUAAGGGGUUGGACUGGGGAUCAGUUGAUGAAGUGCGGACUCUGCAAAGUCGCAUCCAAAGCCUCGCCGAGAGGGGCAUCGAUCUUGUCAACGUUGUUCAAGUAAUGCUAGUCCGUCGGCGACCCCGCCGUGCCAGCGACGGCCUCUACGCAUGUGGGAGGUCAAUCCCGAAGGGCCGCGGACUCUUCAGUACUUCUUCGGCGCUACGCACGAAGGAAUGUGGAGGUUGUUUUUCGGGACACGAAAGCAAUGGCCGGACACCAUCGAAGAUAUCGGCCUUGACUGUAACCAUCCAGACACCUCAGUAAGUAUUCACUUUCCAAACACCUUUUAGUCAAGCAUCCCGUAAUAAGAUAUUGAGAAAACCAUCCCUUUCCAGGGCUGGAUAAAGGAAGUGGAACGAAUCAGGUGUCCGGCUCCCCUUCCCGAAGGCUCAGCGGACGCCAUGCUGGCGAGGAUGCUGGCCCCGACACUGUACCAGGUGCCUAUGAAGGAGGGCGAGAACAGGGAGACUAGAGGCGACCUCUAUCCCGGAGAUAGGCUAGACACCAAGUCCGGGGAAACCGAAAUCCCUUCGCCCGAAGGCAAAGGUGCGGGAUAAUUGGACAUCCCUUCUUCCCACGGCAAGAAGAGGGCCGCCUUCGAAGAUCAGGAGGGGAAGUCUCCCAAGCGAGGCAGAAUGCCCUCGUCAGGCGGCUCGGGCUUGGCGAGCGACGUCGCCGUGCAGCUCCAUCAUGAGGACAAACCUCCGGGCAAAUCGUAAGUGAAGCAAGGUGCUUUGAGUACAUCCCACUCAUUUCCAUCUAAUAUAUAUAUAUAUAUAUAUAUAUACAUAUAUGUGUGUGUGUGUGUGUGUGUGUCUGUGUGUGUGUGUGUCUUUGCAGUUUGGCGCCAGUGUUACUCAACAAUCCCUUUCCUCGGGAGAUCUUCUUCCGGAGAUGAUGGAGAGUGAUACGCCCUCUCCGGCCUCCCCGCCCAACAGGGCGGACGACUUUGAGGUGUCGUUCCGGAGGGUUUCUCCCGAGCGACAAGCAGUGCAGGGGACGAAGAAGGCAUUGCCCGAAGGUGGUGCCUUUGUCGCUCAGGGUUCGGGGGUCAAGAAUGAUGGCCCUGGAUUAUCCGGUUUACAGCCGGAGAUGAUUCUGGAGACGAGCGAGCGGAUUCCUUCAAAGGAAGGUCGUAUUCCUGCGACAGCUUCCGAAGAUCCGGAAGCGCCGGACAUGUUGAUGGACAUGCUGCGACAAGUGUCUGUCUCAGAGGAACACCGUACCUUGAUGGGUACAGUGGUCGAGAGGGUUCUGUCUGCGAAGAGAGGAUUGAAUGAAGCCUUCACGAGCAUUCUAAGAGGCUUCGAGGUUUGUGAUGUAAUUUUUCCGACUGUACUUUAUUCGCAGAAUGCACCUAUGCAUAGAUAAUAGCCCCUGAGACUCGGAUUGCCUUCCCAAAGGAGGCGAUCGGAGGAUCAAAAAAGAUAUGCUCAGGUAAUAAUCUGAUGUAAUUGGAAUACAGGCCAUUUCCCCCCUGGCGACUAUUCAGACUAUGGAGGUAGCCGAACUGCAGCGAAAUCUUGAUAUGUAAGGGGAUGACCUUGCAUUGAUCGACAGGCGUCUUGACGAAUCGCAAGGUAUGUGGUUCGAGCCUGCAUUACACAGAUGUGCUUAUGAUGUUAAGCCCGACGCUCAAAAUUGUAUAUUGGGUAGGAGAUUACAAGAUGAGCCUAUACGGUUCGUUCACGUCAUUCCCGCGGAUUCAGGGGUUGGAGUAUUGUUUUUGCGGAGUUUCUGAACAUCUUCGUUAACCCAGACACUACUGCUAUACCUGCUUAGCAGUAGCGUUUUUGGUACAGAGCGCUACUGGUAGUUACUAGCAGCGCGCCUCCCUACCCGCGCUACUACUACUGUUGGGUAUUUCUUUUUUGUUUUAUGUCGUAUUCAUAUGCCAUUAUACAAGUUUUCAUACAGUAGCAAUUUAGAGAUUGUUUUUACAUCAAAAUGAGUUAUUACAUCAUUGGGUGAAAGAGCCAUGGAUUAGUUUCAAGUGCAUGGAUCCAAAGUGACCAAUGGUCACUUUGGAUCCAUCCACUUGAAACUAAGCCGCGGUUCUUUCACCCAAUGACAUAAUAACUCAUCAUCAUCAUCAUCAUCAUCAUCAUCAUAUCAUUAACAACUUAUCAUCAUAAUAUAUCAUUGUCAUAUAACACCUCCUCAUGAUCAUCAUUUUUAUCAAUGAGACAUCAUAUAGCAAGUUGGUCAGUAGUCAUAAUCACAACUCCUCGUCAUCAUCAACUCUAACACAUUGUACCACAUAAUAACACAUUGUACCUAGGACCUACUAGGUUCUCUUAGGUAAAAUAGCAUAAAACAAGAUAAGAUAGGCCCUGACUCUCCAUUAUAGAGAAUGGAGAUUAUCCUGUCUCCAAUUCUUGCCCUCCGCCUAAUGUUGCUUUCAAGUAGCUCCCUACGAGUGACCAUACAUUUUUUCAAAUCUUUGAUUAUCCGAUAUGAGCAGGAGUGAUUCGUAGGAUGACCUGGCCGUAUAUUCAAAACAUCAAGGCGACCUUUCUGAAACAUUAGAUGAGGCACACACUCCUGCGGGAUUAUCUGUUGAAAAACAUAGUAAUAACUUCGUAGUUAGCAAUGUAGUUCAGUUUUAGAAGAAUUUAUGCAAAAGAUGCACAAAUGUCAUAAUACUAAAAAAAUCUUACCAUGACAUCUCCAUGGAUGUUAGCAUAGUUCAACACAUGCACUAGUGGCACAUAUUGACCAUAAUGUGGAGGAGUUUGAUAAUACAUAUUGUAAUUCUCAAGAUCAGUAAUAAAUGCGAUCAGAUGAUUUUUCUCCUGAUAAGUUAAUUCUGAGCCAUCGGUGUAGUAGGUUCUGUCUACCAUCUUCCGGACAUUCUUUGAAGAAUGAAAAUAAGCUGUCAAGUAUUUUGAAAUAAACAAUAUAAAUUACUUAAUAAUAUGUUUGAGAAACUCACAUAGCCGUAGAAUUGGAUGCGUAUCAACAAGGACCCAAAUGUCCAAAUUGUCUUC
rnacentral:lncRNA from 1 species